rnacentral:rRNA from 1 species
UGGCGUGCUUUUACACAUGCAAGUCGAACGCUGAAGCCUGGUGCUUGCACCGGGUGGAUGAGUGGCGAACGGGUGAGUAAUACGUGAGUGACCUGCCUUUGACUCUGGGAUAAGCCUGGGAAACUGGGUCUAAUACCGGAUGCGACUACUGCCCGCAUGGGCUGGUGGUGGAAAGGGUUAUGUACUGGUCUUAGAUGGGCUCACGGCCUAUCAGCUGGUUGGUGGGGUAAUGGCCUACCAAGGCGACGACGGGUAGCCGGCCUGAGAGGGUGACCGGCCACACUGGGACUGAGACACGGCCCAGACUCCUACGGGAGGCAGCAGUGGGGAAUAUUGCACAAUGGGCGCAAGCCUGAUGCAGCGACGCCGCGUGAGGGAUGACGGCCUUCGGGUUGUAAACCUCUUCAGCAGGAAGAAGCGGAAGGAUCGACCCUAACGG